rnacentral:rRNA from 1 species
CCUACGGGAGGCAGCAGUGAGGAAUAUUGGUCAAUGGACGUAAGGCUGAACCAGCCAAGCCGCGUGAAGGAAGAAGGAUCUAUGGUUUGUAAACUGCUUUUAUAGGGGAAUAAAGGUAUCCACGUGUGGAUAUUUGCAUGUAUCCUAUGAAUAAGCAUCGGCUAACUCCGUGCCAGCAGCCGCGGUAAUACGGAGGAUGCGAGCGUUAUCCGGAUUUAUUGGGUUUAAAGGGUGCGUAGGUUGGUUGUUAAGUCAGCGGUGAAAGUUUGAGGCUCAACCAUAAAAUUGCCGUUGAAACUGGAAGACUUGAGUGUGUUUGCGGUAGGCGGAAUGCGUGGUGUAGCGGUGAAAUGCAUAGAGAUCACGCAGAACUCCGAUUGCGAAGGCAGCUUACUAAGCCAUAACUGACACUGAAGCACGAAAGCGUGGGGAGCAAACAGGAUUAGAUACCCUUGUAGUC